AGUGAACGCUGACGGUAGGCCUAACACAUGCAAGUCGAACGGCAGCACAGUAAGAGCUUGCUCUUACGGGUGGCGAGUGGCGGACGGGUGAGGAAUACAUCGGAAUCUACUUUUUCGUGGGGGAUAACGUAGGGAAACUUACGCUAAUACCGCAUACGACCUACGGGUGAAAGCAGGGGAUCUUCGGACCUUGCGCGAUUGAAUGAGCCGAUGUCGGAUUAGCUAGUUGGCGGGGUAAAGGCCCACCAAGGCGACGAUCCGUAGCUGGUCUGAGAGGAUGAUCAGCCACACUGGAACUGAGACACGGUCCAGACUCCUACGGGAGGCAGCAGUGGGGAAUAUUGGACAAUGGGCGCAAGCCUGAUCCAGCCAUACCGCGUGGGUGAAGAAGGCCUUCGGGUUGUAAAGCCCUUUUGUUGGGAAAGAAAAGCAGCAGGUUAAUACCCCGCUGUUCUGACGGUACCCAAAGAAUAAGCACUGGCUAACUUCGUG
rnacentral:rRNA from 1 species